CCUACGGGAGGCAGCAGUGGGGAAUAUUGCACAAUGGGGGAAACCCUGAUGCAGCAACGCCGCGUGAGUGAAGAAGUAUUUCGGUAUGUAAAGCUCUAUCAGCAGGGAAGAAGAUGACGGUACCUGAUUAAGAAGCCUCGGCUAACUACGUGCCAGCAGCCGCGGUAAUACGUAGGGGGCAAGCGUUAUCCGGAUUUACUGGGUGUAAAGGGAGGGCAAACGGGAGUGCAAGUCUGGAGGGAAAGCCCCGGGCCCAACCCCGGAACUGCUCUGGAAACCGGGCGGCUUGAGUAGUGGAGGGGCAGGCGGAAUUCCUGGUGUAGCGGUGAAAUGCGUAGAUAUUAGGAGGAACACCAAUGGCGAAGGCGGCCUGCUGGACAGUAACUGACGUUGAGGCUCGAAAGCGUGGGGAGCGAACAGGAUUAGAUACCCCUGUAGUC
rnacentral:rRNA from 1 species